rnacentral:rRNA from 1 species
UACGUAGGAGGCAAGCGUUGUCCGGAAUCACUGGGCGUAAAGCGCGUGUAGGUGGAGCAGGAAGUCUGCUGUGAAAGCGCUGCUUAACCGGGCGAGGUCGGUGGAAACUCCUGGUCUAGAGGCCGGUAGAGGGGGGUGGAAUUCCGGGUGUAGUGGUGAAAUGCGUAGAGAUCCGGAGGAACACCAAAGGCGAAGGCAGUGUCCUGGGGAGUACCGUGACGCUCAGGUGCGAAAGCCAGGGGAGCGAACGGGAUUAAGAUGACC